GAUGAACGCUAGCCCAUAGGCCUAACACAUGCAAGUCGAGGGGUAGAGCCAGCUUGCUAACUUGAGACCGGCGACCGGGUGCGUAACGCGUAUGCAAUCUACCUUAUAUACAGGGGAAUAGCCCAGACCUUUGGAUUAAUGCCCCAUAGUAUCAUUGAAUGGCAUCAUUUGAUAAUUAAAGUUCCAACGGUAUAAGAUGAGCAUGCGUCCCAUUAGUUAGUUGGUAAGGUAACGGCUUACCAAGACUAUGAUGGGUAGGGGUCCUGAGAGGGAGAUCCCCCACACUGGUACUGAGACACGGACCAGACUCACUGGGGAGGCAGCAGUGAGGAAUAUUGGACAAUGGGCGCAAGCUGAUCCAGCCAUGCCGCGUGCAGGAAAGGGUCCUAUGGAUUUAAAACUGCUUUUAUACAGGAAGAAACACCUCUACGUGUAGAGGCUUGACGGUACUGUAAGAACAGGAUCGGCUAACUCCGUGCCAGCAGCCGCGGUAAUACGGAGGAUCCAAGCGUUAUCCGGAAUCAUUGGGUUAGGAGGGUCCGUAGGCGGCCUUAUAAGUCAGUGGUGAAAUCUCCUAGCUCAACUAGCUAUACUGCCAUUGAUACUGUAGGGCUUGAAUUAUUAGGAAAGUACUAGAAUAUGUAGUGUAGCGGUGAAAUGCUUAGAUAUUACAUGGAAUACCAAUUGCGAAGGCAGGUUACUACUAAUUGAUUGACGCUGAUGGACCUAGGCGUGGGUAGCGAACAGGAUUAGAUACCCUGGUAGNCCACGCCGUAAACGGUGGAUACUAGCUGACUGGAGCAAUCUGAGUGGCUAAGCGAAAGUGAUAAGUACCUCACNUGGGGAGUACGAACGCAAGUUUGAAACUCAAAGGAAUUGACGAAAGCCCGCACAAGCGGUGGAGCAUGUGGUUUAAUUCGAUGAUACGCGAGGAACCUUACCAAGGCUUAAAUGGGAAACGACAGAUUUGGAAACAGAUUUUUCUUCGGACGUUAAUCAAGGUGCUGCAUGGUUGUCCAGAGCGCGUGCCGGUACGUGUCAGGUUAAGUCCUAUAACGAGCGCAACCCAGCGAGUCAUGUCGGCCACUCUAACGAGACUGCCAGUGUAAACUGUGAGGUACUGAUGAAGCAAAUCAUCACGGCCCUUACGCGAUGGGCCACACACGUGCUACAAUGGACGUUAUAGAGAGCAGCUACUGGGUGACCAGAUGCGAAUCUUCAAAACCGUUCUCAGUUCGGAUCGAAGUCUGCAACUCGACUUCGUGAAGCUGGAAUCGCUAGUAAUCGGAUAUCAGCCAUGAUCCGGUGAAUGGUUCCCGGGCCUAGCUACACCGCCCGUCAAGCCAUGGAAGCUGGGGGUACCUGAAGUCGGUGACCGCAAGGAGCUGCCUAGGCAUACUGGUAACUAGCCCU
rnacentral:rRNA from 1 species